GUAAAUAAUAAAGGGCGUAUGGUGGAUGCCUAGGCUCUCAGAGGCGAAGAAGGACGUGAUAAGCUGCGAAAAGCUCCGUUUAGGUGCAAAUAACCUUUGAUGCGGAGAUCUCCGAAUGGGAUAACCCAAUAUGUUGAAGACAUAUUAUACCGUAAGGUAGGCAAACGCAGGGAACUGAAACAUCUAAGUACCUGCAGGAGAAGAAAACAAACGUGAUUCCCCCAGUAGCGGCGAGCGACCGGGGAAAAGCCCAAACCGUUAUUGUUUCGGCAUUAACGGGGUAGUAGGACUGCGACAUUGAUGAAAUAAAUGAAAUGGAACACCUUGGAAAAUGUGAUCACAGAGGGUGAUAAUCCCGUACAUGCAAGUUUAUGAAUCAUAGCAGACUCCUGAGUAAGUCGGGACACGUGUAAUCCUGACCGAAUCCGCCGGGACCAUCCGGCAAGGCUAAAUACUCCCGAGAGACCGAUAGUGAACCAGUACCGUGAGGGAAAGGUGAAAAGCACUUCGAACAGAAGAGUGAAAUAGUCCCUGAACCCAUACGCCUACAAGCUGUCGGAGCCGCUUCGUGCGGUGACGGCGUGCCUUUUGCAUAAUGAGCCUACGAGUUACUCAUCACCAGCGAGGUUAAGUACUUCAGGUACGUAAGCCGAAGCGAAAGCGAGUCUGAAUAGGGCGUCAAGUUGGUGGUGGUAGACGCGAAACCUUAGUGAUCUACCCAUGGGCAGGGUGAAGGUUUGGUAACACAAACUGGAGGCCCGAACCGGUAAACGUUGAAAAGUUUUCGGAUGACCUGUGGGUAGGGGUGAAAGGCCAAUCAAACUGGGAAAUAGCUCGUACUCUCCGAAAUGCAUUUAGGUGCAGCCUCUGUUGUUUUGUUCUAGAGGUAGAGCUACUGAUUGGAUGCGAGGGCUUCACCGCCUAUCAAAUCCGGCCAAACUCCGAAUGCUAGAACAUGAAGACAGGGAGUGAGCCAGCGGGUGCUAAGGUCCGUUGACGAAAGAGGGAGAACUCAGACCAUCAGCUAAGGUCCCCAAUUGUAUGCUAAGUUGGAAUUAAAACGGGGUGGGACUGCUUAGACAGCUAGGAUGUUGGCUUGGAAGCAGCCAUUCAUUUAAAGAGUGCGUAACAGCUCACUAGUCGAGCGGUCCUGCAUGGAUAAUACGCGGGCAUAAGCAUAUAACCGAAGCUAUGGGAUUGUAGAUGAUACAAUCGGUAGGAGAGCAUUCCAUUCAGCGUAGAAGCAGUAUCGUGAGGUAUUGUGGAGCGGAUGGAAAAGCAAAUGUAGGCAUAAGUAACGAUAAUGCGGGUGAGAACCCCGCACGCCGAAAGAUCAAGGAUUCCCCGGCAAUGUCAAUCAUCCGGGGGUAAGUCGGAUCCUAAGGGUAAGCCGAGUGGCGAUCCCGAUGGCAAACAGGUUAAUAUUCCUGUACUGAUCAUAACUGCGAUGCAGCGACGCAGAGGUGACACUGCUGCGUACUGACGGAAUAGUACGUUGAAACCCGUAUUCUUUGAUACCGGUAGUGAAGCACGCCGGUAGAGAUGAAAGGUGAUAGUACCGCAAUGCUUCGGUUGCGCGGAUAACGCAGGUAAGCUGACUGCCAAGAAAACCUGCUAAGCUUCAGGUAAUGAUCAUCCGUACUGUAAACGGACACACGUGAUCAGGUAGAAAAUACUAAGGCGCUCGAGAGAUUCAUGGUUAAGGAACUAGGCAAAAUGGUCCUGUAACUUCGGGAUAAAGGACGCUCUUGUGAAAGAGCCGCAGAUAAUAGGCCCAGGCGACUGUUUACCAAAAACACAUGGCUAUGCUAAUUCGCAAGAAGAUGUAUAUGGCCUGACACCUGCCCGGUGCCGGAAGGUUAAGAGGAGAGCUCAGAGGCAACUCGAAGGUUUGAAUUGAAGCCCCGGUAAACGGCGGCCGUAACUAUAACGGUCCUAAGGUAGCGAAAUUCCUUGUCGGGUAAGUUC
rnacentral:rRNA from 1 species